rnacentral:rRNA from 1 species
AUUAGGAAUCUUGCGCAAUGGGGGAAACCCUGACGCAGCGACGCCGCGUGAAGGACGAAGGCCUUCGGGUUGUAAACUUCUUUUAUCAGGGAAGAAGCAAGUGACGGUACCUGAUGAAUAAGCCCCGGCUAACUACGUGCCAGCAGCCGCGGUAAUACGUAGGGGGCGAGCGUUGUCCGAAGUUACUGGGCGUAAAGCGCGCGUAGGCGGGGCGUUAAGUUGGGUGUGAAAUCUCCGGGCUCAACCCGGAAACCGCAUCCAAAACUGGCGUCCUUGAGGUAUGGAGAGGGAAGUGGAAUUCCUGGUGUAGCGGUGAAAUGCGUAGAUAUCAGGAGGAACACCCGUGGCGAAGGCGGCUUCCUGGUCAUAUCCUGACGCUGAGGCGCGAAAGCUAGGGGAGCGAACGGGAUUAGAUACCCUUGUAGUCC